UUGAGACACGAUAAAAAUGAAAUUAAAUAAUAAUAUGAAAAAUAAAUUAAAUGUCAAUACAAAAGAAUCUAUGGUCAGAUGUGCGCGGCCAAAGUGACGAGUCGACGGGCCGUGACUGCUAUAAAGGAGAAAAAAGGGAAAAUGACACUUCUGCCGCCACGUCAAAUCAGCCACGCAGCAUCCAAAUGUCAUUACAGUCACAAUUUGCAAUAAUUAAAAUAAAUAUCAGGAUUCUAUGAUUAGUUUAAAUAAAUAAAUGGAUUAAAUCAUCGAGAUUUCACACUCGGAGUCGUGAACGUGAUGGGUACUCAUCAAGGGAAAAAAUACAAUCGCGAAACCAUGGCAUCCGAGCAUCCCCAGAGCACGACUCAAAAAAGCUUAAAGAAAAAAGGGAAGGGAACCACGAAGAGCAACGUUAUCAAUGACGGAACGGCACGCCAAUAUCCGCAUGCACGGCGUGCGUACUCAGAUGAGCACGCAACGGCGGGGGCAGGUCGUUCCAACAUCGAGACGCUGCAAAUCUAAACGAGCCUCGAAAUGCCGAUGUGCGAUGCCUCGGUGUAAGGAAGACGUGAGUAAUCACUCUUCUUUCAUGCUCAUUUCUACUAGGGGCCUGGGCUAGCUUGUCCAAGAGAUAUUUUGGCCGCCCUGUGCUGAUAACUCCAAACAACAUUGUCGCUAGGUGCAGCCUUCUACGGGCCUCCAUCUUCAUCAGAUUGGCAGUAAUGAGGAAAGGUGUAACAUGAGAUCGUGGUGGGAUAUGGAAGCAGAAGCGGGCACAUGCAUUUUGUACUCGUUGCAAUAAUUUAGCAGAACUUGCCAACAAACACGGCCCA